UACGUAGGGGGCAAGCGUUGUCCGGAAUUAUUGGGCGUAAAGAGCGUGUAGGCGGCCAGAUAAGUCCGCUGUGAAAUCUCGAGGCUCAACCUCGAGACGCCGAUGGAAACCAUUUGGCUAGAGUCCGGAAGAGGAGAGUGGAAUUCCUGGUGUAGCGGUGAAAUGCGCAGAUAUCAGGAAGAACACCCGUGGCUAAGGCGGCUCUCUAGUACGGUACUGACGCUCAGGAGCGAAAGCGUGGGGAGCGAUCCGG
rnacentral:rRNA from 1 species